CGUAUUUGUAAUGAUUUCAAAUUUUGUAAACGUUCAAAAACACAUUUUAUUUCUGAAGGACACUUUUUAAAUGGAACACAAUUGCCCGUUGAAUAGAGUUCAACUUGGAUAUCAUACCUGGAAUUUGCUUCAUACUAUGGUGGCAAACUAUCCGGACGAACCUUCACCCCAGAAACAGGAAGAUAUAUAUCAAUUUUUUAAACUACUCGCCCGUCUGUAUCCUUGUCAAGCAUGUGGUCGUGAUUUUUCUCAUCUGUUGACCCAACGACCACCAGUGACUAACUCACAAAAUACAUUAUCUGAAUGGCUGUGUUCUAUACACAAUGAUGUAAAUCAAAAAAUUGGAAAAUCAAUUUUUGAUUGUAACAGAGUAAACGAAAGAUGGAGGGACGGGUGGAAUGAUGGAAGCUGUGAUCAAAUAUAAAUGUAAACUGUACACAGUGACUACUACGCGCCAAACAGAAAACAUAUAUAAUACAAUAAUAACUAUAUAUAGGUAUUUUUUUUCCUGUUUGAACCGAGAACCGGAGACGAAACUGCUUUCGCAUUGCUUUGACCAAACUAUAGUGUGUUUUCAGUCAUUACCUUUUGUAGCAGUUAAAAUGCUUCAAAUCUUUGAGGGUGAUUUGAGGUAGAAAAUUGGAUCAAAUUGAAACUUUGACUUUGGGGAGUCAAGAGUAAAAAUGCCCAGUAAUUUUCCAAAUAAUGGGGAAAAACUUUUGAAAAAAUAAUAAAAUAUUAUAUUGUCCUGCAAUAUUUUAUGAUUAUACCAUUGU